CUUCAGAAGAUAAUCUCAAUUGUUCUGCAAAGGGAAAGCAUUCGCGGUAUACGUUCUACAAAUAUACCUCGGGAUACAUUCAUCAUUGUACAAUCAAGAACCUGAAGUUUGACACAAAGUAUUACUAAGCCGUUGGAACUGAAGAGACGUUGAAAAAGAUUUGGUUUAGGACCCCUCCGAAAAGUGGCCCAGAUGUUCCAUAUACAUUUGGUCUGAUAGGUGAUCUCGGUCAGAGUUUCGACUCCAAUGUCAUGCUCGCUCAUUAUGAGUCCAAAUAGUACGAUGUAAUCCUCUAAGCAUGGUUGACAUACUU